rnacentral:rRNA from 1 species
GAUGAACGCUGGCGGCGUGCCUAAUACAUGCAAGUCGAGCGAACGGACGAGAAGCUUGCUUCUCUGAUGUUAGCGGCGGACGGGUGAGUAACACGUGGAUAACCUACCUAUAAGACUGGGAUAACUUCGGGAAACCGGAGCUAAUACCGGAUAAUAUUUUGAACCGCAUGGUUCAAAAGUGAAAGACGGUCUUGCUGUCACUUAUAGAUGGAUCCGCGCUGCAUUAGCUAGUUGGUAAGGUAACGGCUUACCAAGGCAACGAUGCAUAGCCGACCUGAGAGGGUGAUCGGCCACACUGGAACUGAGACACGGUCCAGACUCCUACGGGAGGCAGCAGUAGGGAAUCUUGCGCAAUGGGGGCAAGCCUGACGGAGCAACGCCGCGUGAGUGAUGAAGGUCUUCGGAUCGUAAAACUCUGUUAUUAGGGAAGAACAUAUGUGUAAGUAACUGUGCACAUCUUGACGGUACCUAAUCAGAAGGCAACGGCUAACUACGUG